rnacentral:rRNA from 1 species
AUACGUAGGGUGCGAGCGUUGUCCGGAAUGAUUGGGCGUAAAGGGCGCGUAGGCGGCCCGGUAAGUCUGGUGUGAAAGUCCUGUUUUUAAGAUGGGAAUUGCUUUGGAUACUGUCGGGCUUGAGUGCAGGAGAGGUAAGUGGAAUUCCCAGUGUAGCGGUGAAAUGCGUAGAGAUUGGGAGGAACACCAGUGGCGAAGGCGACUUACUGGACUGUAACUGACGCUGAGGCGCGAAAGUGUGGGGAGCAAACAGGAUUAGAUACCCCGGUAGUCCACACUGUAAACGAUGAAUGCUAGGUGUAGGGGGUAUCGACCCCCUCUGUGCCGCAGUCAACACAAUAAGCAUUCCGCCUGGGGAGUACGGCCGCAAGGUUGAAACUCAAAUGAAUUGGCGGGG